rnacentral:rRNA from 1 species
CAGCGUAGGGCGCAAGCGUUGUCCGGAAUUAUUGGGCGUAAAGAGCUCGUAGGCGGUCUGUUGCGUCCGCUGUGAAAACUCGGGGCUUAACCCCGAGCCUGCAGUGGAUACGGGCAGACUAGAGGUAGGUAGGGGAGAAUGGAAUUCCCGGUGUAGCGGUGAAAUGCGCAGAUAUCGGGAGGAACACCGGUGGCGAAGGCGAGUCCCUGGACAACUUCUGACGCUGAGGCGCGGACAGCGUGGGGAGCAAACGAGGA